UUUUAAUGCAAUUUCCAAUAACAAAGCACCGGUUCUCUUCUGAUCACCAAAGUUAUGCAACAUCAAGCCUAGUGAGUACUUAGAUGGGUGACCGCUUCGGAAACCUAGGUGCUGUAAGCG
rnacentral:rRNA from 1 species